CUAAAACACUACCUGCACUUACUUCAUACAUGGAGUAGAAUUAUUUUUCUUCACUCGCCAAUAUUUAGUCGAGAACAGAACUUUAGGGACUGGGGUAAAAAUGUGACAAGAAGCCUUAUGUUUCCAUUCAUCCACUUAUGUUAUUGUCUUUUGUGUGAUUUUUUUAACACAGGUGUUUUACACAGGCUUUAAUCACUAAAUUGUUUGUUGCCC